rnacentral:misc_RNA from 1 species
GAUGAAGAACGUAGCGAAAUGCGAUACGUAAUGUGAAUUGCAGAAUUCAGUGAAUCAUCGAGUCUUUGAACGCACAUUGCGCCCACUGGUAUUCCGGUGGGCAUGCCUGUUCGAGCGUCAUUAUCCUCCCUCAAACCUCGGGUUUGGUGUUGGACCCAAGUUGUGUGAACAACUGGUCUCAAAGACAAUGACGGCGUCCGUGGGACCCUCGGUGCAACGAGCUUUUAGGAGCACGCGUCGAGUUUCAAGGACCUUCCGGGCCGGUCUCCUUUACUAUUUUUACAAGGUUGACCUCGGAUCAGGUAGGAAUACCCGCUGAACUUAAGCAUAUCAAUAAGCGGAGGA